UGACAGGACUCUGGAGAGAUCCAAUUAAUGGGCGCCGAAGGGGCAACGCAAUAUGCUUUGCUAAUCUCUCAGGCAAAAGGACAGAGUAUUUAAA
rnacentral:ncRNA from 2 species